rnacentral:miRNA from 1 species
ACUGGACUAGGAGUCAGAAA